AAAGUUAACUAUGGCAUUCCC
rnacentral:miRNA from 1 species